UCAAGAAUACUCACACAGCCAUUUCAGCUUUAUUCUUACCACAGUCAAGCAGACUUAUUAGCUUGGAGUUUCGAACUCAAAACCCCUUUGUUUUUUUAUACUUGGAGCAUGACUUUUUUUUUUUUUUUUUUUAUUAAAUUUUAAAAUCCAGAAUCUACACCCUUACUAUUAGGCGACUUGACAUGGUUGUACACAUGUUGAAAUAAAACAAAUUUCGUGCUGAAUUGUAAAUAUAGUUGGGGGGAAUGUGAGAAUACAAAGAAUAUGUAAAGCCAGUCUUAUAACCAAGGGUGUUUUGGACUUUCCAGCUUUUUAGCGUCAAUGGCUGCGUUUUUUUUUCAGUUCCAAACCUCUCAGGCUAUCACAAGUCACAACCUCAUUCAGUCCCAAGUCACAGAGAACUCGAGACCACCAUGGCCGGUGGCCACUUCCGCCGCCACCGCCACCACAACCACCAUCUUCCUUCUCGUGAUCCUAAACCACCAGCACAACAGCCCCAAUAUUUGGCCUUGACACAUUCCCGCCUCGACCUUCAAGCCAGCAGGGCAUGUUUGGUGCGUGCUCCAUCUAAUUCCUUCAAGUUGGACAAAGUUAUAAAGUCUCAUUUACAUCAACUUACGUUGAAUAUAGUGAGUUAUCUAAUUCAGUUUAAUCGAUAGACCCAAUUAUUCUUUUAAGGAAAUUGUUUAGAGUGCUUAAUCAUCAUGUACUCCUCUUUCCUUUAUUUUUCAUUUUAAAUGAGCAGCUUCCCCUUUUGUCAUGAAAUAUGAAUUUGAUACUGAAUUCUGCAUGCUAUUUAGGGCCUGUUUGGUUGGGAUGCACCCUUAUUGUUAGCCCUAAGAGCUUUGCCAAAAAUACUUUUUAAGUUUCUUUUACUAAAAGCUGUCAAAAACGCGUGUCGUUGUUAGAAAACGCUUUAAAUUCCUUCAGAAGCAAUUACAAACAGGCUCGAUUUGGUUUAAUUUUUUGUUAGUGUUUAUUUUGGAUCGGCAUAGGCAUUUUAUGAAGGAAUUGUAUGGAAUAUACCUAUAUGGAGCUGCGCCAGAGGCUGAUGAGAGGUAAGUUGUAAAAACCACAUCUGUCAGUUACCUUUUUAUAUGUCACUAUGUGUUUUUAGGAGUCUGGACAACUGACCUUCCAGCAGUAUGCAUGUUUGCAAAGGGACAAAGCAAAGAAUAUUGCAUUGUCCUAGAAACAUGCUGAAAAACUGUUCAAGGGGCUGAUGUGGUUAUGAAUUUGUGUCUAAGUUAAUUAUGUGCAAGCAACCUGGAUCAUAUCUAGCUGCUGCGACUAUUCCAAGAGGAUCAAUGAUAUCUAAGCGCAGCCUAAGGAAAGCCAUUCUAAUUAAGGCCUUAAUCAACGCUUGUAUGUGCAAUACCGAAAACUCGAGAUGGGGAAGAUAACCUUCGAACUGAGGCUAACAACGCGUUUAUAGAUAGAUGCAAGCUCUUAAGUUAUCGACAGCAGUAUGAACAGAUAUUGCAAGGAUUUGAUGGACGGACUGCUUCAAGUGGUGAUGAUAACACAUGCAUCUCCCCAUAAUAUGCUGUUUAUGUAUGCUGGUAAAUUGGAUCAUAGAAAAAAAAAGUACGAUAGUGAGUUAGUAUAAAAUGAUUCUGUCAUACAGUUUCUCUUUAUUAUUAAGUAAAGGAUCUGUAAAAACUCGAAAUUUGGAGUUACCAAGAAAAUUGUGUGCUUUACUUGGGUGUAAAUACAAGUCAUACCAUACGUAUUUAUUGUCUCUCACCUCUCUUCACGUCACGUGAUGAGAAACAGUAAAAUGCGAGUAAAUACACCUGGUAACAGGUAGAAAUGUGAUAGCUUGUGUAAA